AGUGAACGCUGGCGGUAGGCCUAACACAUGCAAGUCGAACGGCAGCACAGUAAGAGCUUGCUCUUACGGGUGGCGAGUGGCGGACGGGUGAGGAAUACAUCGGAAUCUACUUUUUCGUGGGGGAUAACGUAGGGAAACUUACGCUAAUACCGCAUACGACCUACGGGUGAAAGCAGGGGAUCUUCGCACCUUGCGCGAUUGAAUGAGCCGAUGUCGGAUUAGCUAGUUGGCGAGGUAAAGGCCCACCAAGGCGACGAUCCGUAGCUGGUCUGAGGGGAUGAUCAGCCACACUGGAACUGAGACACGGUCCAGACUCCUACGGGAGGCAGCAGUGGGGAAUAUUGGACAAUGGGCGCAAGCCUGAUCCAGCCAUACCGCGUGGGUGAAGAAGGCCUUCGGGUUGUAAAGCCCUUUUGUUGGGAAAGAAAAGCAGCAGGUUAAUACCCCGCUGUUCUGACGGUACCCAAAGAAUAAGCACCGGCUAACUUCGUG
rnacentral:rRNA from 1 species